UACAUGGGGUGCAAACGUUUGCUCGGAAUUAUUGGGGCGUAAAGCGCGCGUAGGCGGUUACUUAAGUCGGAUGUGAAAGCCCUCGGCUUAACUGAGGAAGUGCACCCGAAACUGAGUAGCUAGAGUACGAAAGAGGGUCGCGGAAUUCCCGGUGUAGAGGUGAAAUUCGUAGAUAUCGGGGAGGAACACCGGGUGGCGAAGGCGGCGACCUGGGUCGAGACUGACGCUGAGGCGCGAAAGCGUGGGGAGCAAACAGG
rnacentral:rRNA from 1 species